GACGAACGCUGGCGGCGUGCUUAACACAUGCAAGUCGAACGGAAAGGCCCUGCUGUUGUGGGGUGCUCGAGUGGCGAACGGGUGAGUAACACGUGAGUAACCUGCCCUUGACUUUGGGAUAACUUCAGGAAACUGGGGCUAAUACCGGAUAGGAGCUCCUGCUGCAUGGUGGGGGUGGGAAAGUUUCGGCGGUUGGGGAUGGACUCGCGGCUUAUCAGCUUGUUGGUGGGGUAGUGGCUUACCAAGGCUUUGACGGGUAGCAGGCCUGAGAGGGUGACCGGCCACAUUGGGACUGAGAUAAGACCCAGACUCCUACGGGAGGCAGCAGUGGGGAAUAUUGCCCAAUGGGCGGAAGCCUGAUGCAGCAACGCCGCGUGCGGGAUGACGGCCUUCGGGUUGUAAACCGCUUUCGCCUGUGACGAAGAGUGAGUGACGGUAAUGGGUAAAGAAGCACCGGCUAACUACGUG
rnacentral:rRNA from 1 species